CCUACGGGAGGCAGCAGUGGGGAAUAUUGCACAAUGGGGGAAACCCUGAUGCAGCGACGCCGCGUGAGUGAAGAAGUAUUUCGGUACGUAAAGCUCUAUCAGCAGGGAAGAAAAUGACGGUACCUGACUAAGAAGCCCCGGCUAACUACGUGCCAGCAGCCGCGGUAAUACGUAGGGGGCAAGCGUUAUCCGGAUUUACUGGGUGUAAAGGGAGCGUAGACGGCAGCGCAAGUCUGGAGUGAAAUCCCAUGGCUUAACCAUGGAACUGCUGUGGAAACUGUGCAGCUAGAGUGCAGGAGAGGUAAGCGGAAUUCCCAGUGUAGCGGUGAAAUGCGUAGAUAUUAGGAGGAACACCAGUGGCGAAGGCGGCUUACUGGACUGUAACUGACGUUGAGGCUCGAAAGCGUGGGGAGCAAACAGGAUUAGAUACCCUGGUAGUC
rnacentral:rRNA from 1 species